AACACAUGCAAGUCGAGGGGCAGCAUGGUCUUUUCUUGCUAAGGCCGAUGGCGACCGGCGCACGGGUGAGUAACACGUAUCCAACCUGCCGUCUACUCUUGGACAGCCUUCUGAAAGGAAGAUUAAUACAAGAUGGCAUCAUGAGUCCGCAUGUUCACAUGAUUAAAGGUAUUCCGGUAGACGAUGGGGAUGCGUUCCAUUAGAUAGUAGGCGGGGUAACGGCCCACCUAGUCUUCGAUGGAUAGGGGUUCUGAGAGGAAGGUCCCCCACAUUGGAACUGAGACACGGUCCAAACUCCUACGGGAGGCAGCAGUGAGGAAUAUUGGUCAAUGGGCGAGAGCCUGAACCAGCCAAGUAGCGUGAAGGAUGACUGCCCUAUGGGUUGUAAACUUCUUUUAUAAAGGAAUAAAGUCGGGUAUGGAUACCCGUUUGCAUGUACUUUAUGAAUAAGGAUCGGCUAACUCCGUGCCAGCAGCCGCGGUAAUACGGAGGAUCCGAGCGUUAUCCGGAUUUAUUGGGUUUAAAGGGAGCGUAGAUGGAUGUUUAAGUCAGUUGUGAAAGUUUGCGGCUCAACCGUAAAAUUGCAGUUGAUACUGGAUAUCUUGAGUGCAGUUGAGGCAGGCGGAAUUCGUGGUGUAGCGGUGAAAUGCUUAGAUAUCACGAAGAACUCCGAUUGCGAAGGCAGCCUGCUAAGCUGCAACUGACAUUGAGGCUCGAAAGUGUGGGUAUCAAACAGGAUUAGAUACCCUGGUAGUCCACACGGUAAACGAUGAAUACUCGCUGUUUGCGAUAUACUGCAAGCGGCCAAGCGAAAGCGUUAAGUAUUCCACCUGGGGAGUACGCCGGCAACGGUGAAACUCAAAGGAAUUGACGGGGGCCCGCACAAGCGGAGGAACAUGUGGUUUAAUUCGAUGAUACGCGAGGAACCUUACCCGGGCUUAAAUUGCAGAUGAAUUACGGUGAAAGCCGUAAGCCGCAAGGCAUCUGUGAAGGUGCUGCAUGGUUGUCGUCAGCUCGUGCCGUGAGGUGUCGGCUUAAGUGCCAUAACGAGCGCAACCCUUGUUGUCAGUUACUAACAGGUUCCGCUGAGGACUCUGACAAGACUGCCAUCGUAAGAUGUGAGGAAGGUGGGGAUGACGUCAAAUCAGCACGGCCCUUACGUCCGGGGCUACACACGUGUUACAAUGGGGGGUACAGAGGGCCGCUACCACGCGAGUGGAUGCCAAUCCCCAAAACCUCUCUCAGUUCGGACUGGAGUCUGCAACCCGACUCCACGAAGCUGGAUUCGCUAGUAAUCGCGCAUCAGCCACGGCGCGGUGAAUACGUUCCCGGGCCUUGUACACACCGCCCGUCAAGCCAUGGGAGCCGGGGGGUACCUGAAGUGCGUAACCGCGAGGAGCGCCCUAGGGUAAAACUGGUGACUGGGGCUAAGUCG
rnacentral:rRNA from 1 species